GAGUUUUUAGUUUAAAGAGAACAUCUCCCUUCAAAGGAGAAGGUGCCUUUGGGACAAACUUGA
rnacentral:tRNA from 1 species